GACGAACGCUGGCGGCGUGCUUAACACAUGCAAGUCGAACGGUAAGGCCCUUCGGGGUACACGAGUGGCGAACGGGUGAGUAACACGUGGGUGAUCUGCCCUGCACUUCGGGAUAAGCCUGGGAAACUGGGUCUAAUACCGGAUAGGACCCUGGGAUGCAUGUCCUGGGGUGGAAAGCUUUUGCGGUGUGGGAUGGGCCCGCGGCCUAGGAGCUUGUUGGUGGGGUGAGGGCCUACCAAGGCGAAGACGGGUAGCCGGCCUGAGAGGGUGACCGGCCACACGGGGACUGAGAUACGGCCCAGACUCCUACGGGAGGCAGCAGUGGGGAAUAUUGCACAAUGGGCGCAAGCCUGAUGCAGCGACGCCGCGUGAGGGAUGACGGCCUUCGGGUUGUAAACCUCUUUCAGCACCGACGAAGCGCAAGUGACGGUAGGUGCAGAAGAAGGGCCGGCCAACUACGUGCCAGCCGCCGCAGUAA
rnacentral:rRNA from 1 species